rnacentral:rRNA from 1 species
CCAUGCCACCCUGAACGCUCCUGAUCUCAUCUGGUCAGAAGCUAAGCAGGAUCAGGCCUGGUUAGUAUUUGGUUGGGAGACC